rnacentral:misc_RNA from 1 species
UUUAUCUUUUUGUUUUAUGACUUUUUCUUCCUCAAUUUUUUCCCUCUUGUAACAGAACUCCUCUUUUAGGUCUUAUCCCCAAAUAAGGCCUUGACAUCACCUUUAGCCCUAGCCCUAGCUUUUAGGUCCAAUUAGGGUUUUUGAUUUCCAAGCUCAAAACUUGAAUAGGAAGCUCGAAACUUUGAAGCUCAAGCCCAUUAGCUUCGUCUUCCACCUCUGGUUUCUGUUCUGUUGCAGAAAUUCGAUUUUUUUUUUAAAUUCGGAUUUUCGGAAGUUUAAAAAAUAUAAUUCUGAAUUUGUUUUCGCGGGCGGAUUUUCUGUAGUUUGUUUGAUUUACUUAACUACAGAUCUGUUAAUCGAGGAUUAUGACUUCUAUGGAUAUGGACUCGCCGACAACCCCUAUUUUGGCCAUUACUCCUGUAAUGCUUCCUGAUAACAAUGAAGAGCCCAUUUCUGAGGAGCAGCCCAAUAAACGCAGAAGAAAGAAGUCGAUUGUUUGGGAACACUUCACUAUAGAAACUGUUGGUCCUGGUUGUAUGAGGGCAUGCUGCAAGCAGUGCAAGAAAUCAUUUGCUUAUAUAACUGGUUCAAAGCUAGCAGGGACCAGCCACCUUAAGCGACACAUUGCCUUGGGGAUCUGUCCAGUAAGCCGUCAGAAAAAUGAAGCAUCCCAAAUGACAUCAGGUGUGAAAACUGAUCCACCUAGAAGACGCUACCGAGCAACUCCUGGAGUUGGAAGCAUUCCCUUUGAUCAGGAUCGUUGCAACCAUGAGAUAGCUAAGAUGAUUAUACAGCAUGAAUAUCCACUCCACAUGGUGGAACAUCCUGCCUUCAUUGAUUUUGUCCGAACUCUUCAACCCCAGUUCAAUAUGGCGAGUUUCAACACCAUUCAAGGAGAAUGUGUGGCAAUGUACCUGAGGGAAAAGCAACACCUUUUGAAUCUUAUCAGUGGGAUUCCUGGACGAGUCAGCCUUACUUUGGAUUUAGCGACUUCAAACCUUAAUAUUGGCUAUGCUUUUCUAGCAGGACACUUCAUUGAUGAUGAUUGGAAUUUGCAUCGCUUGGUCCUUAAUGUUGUCAUGCUUCCUUUUCCUGAUUCGGAUUAUGCCUUUAAUCAGGCUGUUGUGUCUUGCAUAUCUGAUUGGAACUUGGAGAGCAGGCUAUUUACCCUUACCCUUGAUCAACCCUUUUCAAAUGAAAACAUAAUUGUAAAUCUCAGAGGCCUGUUGUCUGUCAAGAACCCACUUUUGUUCAAUGGUCAAUUAUUGAAAGGGAAUUGCUAUGCUCGUGUUUUAAGUCGUCUUGCACAAGAUGCACUUGGAGCAAUGGGGGAAGUUAUCAGGAGAAUCCGUGAAAGUGUGAAGUAUGUGAAAACCUCAGAAACACAUGAUGAGAAGUUUAAUGAGCUGAGGCAACAACUUCAAGUCCCUAGCACAAAAGAGCUCAUCAUUGACGAUCAAACCAAAUGGAGCACUACUUACCAAAUGCUGGUGGCUGCUUGUGAAUUAAAGGAAGUAUUUGCCUGCUUGGAUACCUCUGACCCUGUUUACAAGAUAAACCCAUCAAUGGAUGAUUGGAAGCAGGUGGAAAUUCUGUGCACAUACUUGAAGCUUUUCUAUGAUGCAGCUUGCAUUUUAACUGCCCCAACAUAUCCUCCUGCCAAUGCAUUUUAUCAUGAAGUGUCCAAGGUCCAGCUAGAGCUGACACAUGCAGCCAUGAGCCAGGACCCAUUUGUCAGCACCCUAACCAAACCUUUGAAAGAGAAGUUUGAUCAAUAUUGGAGGGACUGCUUCCUUGUUUUGGCAAUUGCUGUUGUCAUGGAUCCGAGAUUUAAAAUGAAACUUGUUGAGUUCAGUUUUUCUAGGAUCUUUGGUGAGGAUGCUGGUAUGUGGGUCAAGUUUGUUGAUGAUGGGAUUCAUGAACUCUUUCGGGAAUAUCUUGCACCAAAUCUUUCUGUAUCGACUUCUUUUAUGGAAGCAGAGGAUAUGGGCAUCCCUCAAUCAGAGAUACUUCAAGAAGUACCCCCUAAAGAAGUAGCACCCCAGGAAGCACACUUUGAAGUACCCCUUCAAUUGGAUAACCCUGCAAAUGCAUCUCCACAAGAAGUCCACUCUCAAGGAGCAGCCUUUCAAGAUGUAAAGCCUGAAGAAGCAACUCCCCAAGUGCACUCUAAAGAUGAACCUCCACAAGAUGCAUCUCAUCAAAUGAUGUACCAUCUUGAAGAAGCUGAACAAAAGGUGCACCCUCAGGAAGUAUCAAUGCGAGAGAUGCAGACUCAGGAAAUACCAGUACAGGAGAUGGACACUCGAGAAAUACCAGUGCAGGAGAUGCGUGCUCAAGAAGCAUCAGUGCCAGAGAUGCAUGCUCAAGAAACACCAGUGCAGGAGAUUCCCUCUCAAGAAGCACCAGCGCAUCAAGAAAUACCAUUGCAAGAUGCAGACACUCAAGAAGUACCUGCUCAAGAGAUGCAUGCUCAUGAAGUGCCUGCUGAAGAGAUGCACACUCGAGAAGUACCAUCUCAAGAUAUGCAUGCUGAAGAAGUUCUGUCUCAAGAGAUGCAUUCUAAAGAAGUAUGUAACCAAGAGGUGCACCCUCAAGAAGUGGUGGCUCAAGAGGAGCACCAUCAAGAAGUGGUGACUCAGGAGAAGCACCAUCAAGAAGUGGUGGCUCAAGAAGAGCACCGUCAAGAAGUGGUGACUCAGGAGAUACACCCUCCAGAAGCACAGACCCAGGAGAUGCAUCCUCCAGAAUGUCAGACCCAGGAGAUGCAGAAUCCAGAAUCACAGACCCAGGAAAUGCACUCUCCAGAAGCAGAGACCCAGGCGAUGCACCCUCCGGAAGCACAGACGCAUGAGGUACACCUUCAAGAAGAAGCACAGACCCAUGAGAUGCACUUUCCAGAAGAGCAGACUCAUGACAUGCACCUUCAAGAAGCAGAGACUCAUGAUGUGCACUCUCAAGAAGUACAUGCUCAUGUAAUGCACCUUCAAGAAACAGAGACUCACAGGAUUCACCCUCAAGAAGCAGAGACCCAUGAGACUCUGCAUCAAGAAGUAAUGAGUCAAGAGAUGCAUCCUCAACAAGUAGAAACUCAAGAGAUGCACCAUCAGGAGUUAUCCCAAGAGAUGCACCAUCAUGAGCUCUCACGAGAGAUACAGCCUUAUGAAGGGCACCAUCAAGAUUUACCUAUGCUUUCUAUUGGGGAUGGGCUUUCUGAUUUUGAUGUGUAUAUAUCUGAGAUUUCAAGUAGCCAACACAUGAAAUCAGAAUUGGAUCAGUAUCUCGAGGAGUCUCUCUUGCCUCGGGUACAAGAAUUUGAUGUGUUAGGUUGGUGGAAACUAAACAAACUGAAGUACCCAACUCUCUCUAAGAUGGCUGCUGAUAUUUUGUCAAUCCCAAUUUCUACUGUUCCUUCUGAUUCUGUAUUUGACACUGGAAGUAAAAGGAUAGAUAGCUACCGGAGUUCACUGCGACCUGUUACACUUGAAGCCCUUAUUUGUGCUAAGGAUUGGCUUCAAUAUGGAUCAUCAGCAUCAUCAUUGGAGAAUUCUAAUGCAAUUGUGAAAAUGGAAUAUUAGUUAUAUAGGAUUCAGUUUACAUCCUAUAGCGUAGAUAUUUUGACUUGGAUUUAGGCUUGUGAUUUUUGUUUUGUAUUUUUUGUUUCUGCCCUUAUCAUGAGAUGCUAUUGUCUGGAUUUUGUUUUUACUUCUAAAGGAAUUGUGUUAAUCUUGAAUUCAGGAAUCAUUUGUGAA